GACGAACGCUGGCGGCGUGCUUAACACAUGCAAGUCGAACGGAAAGGCCCUGCUUGCAGGGUACUCGAGUGGCGAACGGGUGAGUAACUCGUGGGUGAUCUGCCCUGCACUUCGGGAUAAGCCUGGGUAACUGGGUCUAAUACCGGCUAGGUGCCAUUUUUAGUGUGAUGGUUGGAAAGUUUUUUCGGUGUAGGAUGAGCUCGCGGCCUAUCAGCUUGUUGGUGGGGUAAUGGCCUACCAAGGCGGCGACGGGUAGCCGGCCUGAGAGGGUGGACGGCCACAUUGGGACUGAGAUACGGCCCAGACUCCUACGGGAGGCAGCAGUGGGGAAUAUUGCACAAUGGGCGCAAGCCUGAUGCAGCGACGCCGCGUGGGGGAUGACGGCCUUCGGGUUGUAAACUCCUUUCGCUAGGGACGAAGCUUUUUGUGACGGUACCUAGAUAAGAAGCACCGGCUAACUACGUG
rnacentral:rRNA from 1 species